GAAAUGCGAUAAGUAAUGUGAAUUGCAGAAUUCAGUGAAUCAUCGAAUCUUUGAACGCACAUUGUGCCCGCCAGUAUUCUGGCGGGCAUGCCUGUUCGAGCGUCAUUUCAACCAUCAAGCCCCCGGGCUUGUGUUGGGGACCUGCGGCUGCCGCAGGCCCCGAAAACCAGUGGCGGGCUCGCUGUCACACCGGGCGUAGUAGAUUUUUCGUCUCGCCCAGGGCGUGCUGCGGGUUCCGGCCGUUAAAAAGCCUCUCUUUUAACCCAAGGUUGACCUCGGAUCAGGUAGGAAGACCCGCUGAACUUAAGC
rnacentral:misc_RNA from 1 species